rnacentral:lncRNA from 1 species
AUGGACAGUAUUAUACCAUGCAGGGAAAGGAAAGUGCCCUCUGGGCUUCCUUUCACCUGGGUUGCUGUAGUGGUGAACACCAGGGGUGACACCAUCCACUACAUCAGGGUGCUGUCACAUGGGACGUGGUACCCUGCGCUGAUUUCAGGGUUCCAAACUGCUUUGAUGAGAACUCCAACCAGAUUUUGGAACACUGCAGCAGUCAUCCAGCUGCAGCACAGAUCCUGCUGAGACAUGAGUGCCUGUGGAAAUCCAGCACUUUGCCUUGUUCCAGAGAACCACAGUGCAAGGAGGGAACCUCUACCCCAGGAGGUGACGGUGGUGUCCCUCUGAGCUUCAAGGUGGGCAAGCUGCUCUAGGUGGCCCUGCUUGAGCAGGGGUCGGAGGAGAUGGACCCAGAGGUCCCUUCCCACCUCAGCCACUCGGUGAUUCUGUGAUCUGGGCCGGUUCUGCACAGAGCCACAGUGUGUUAGCCUCGGCUCUGCUGGAAAACAGAUCGGCUGCUUUUGGAGUAUGAAAUACUGGAUUUGUUCUCACACUGUGCUGCUGCUCAGGUUACCAGCAAUCCUCAACCCAAAUCGCCUGACCCUGGGUGCCCAAGCAGCCUGAGAGCUUGGAAAGCCCGCUGAUGGAGAAAAUGCCAGCAGAUGGUGCUCAAGAACAUGCACUAGCUGGGACAGAGAGGUGUGGAGAAGCAGAACGACCAUUGAGAUGUCCCUUCAGCAACCCAUGCUCUCCUAGAAGGUUUUCCCUUCCCAUGGCCGUGUUUCCAACUUGGUUGUGAUUAUUUUCUUGCUAAAUUCCAGUCCCAGGAGCUGCCUUGCAGAGCCGUAGGCACCAUGCAGCAUCACUCCCGUGCCCUACGCCUGGUGUGAAAAUCACUUGAAGUUUGCUUUUUUGAUUUUGUUUCUGUGUUUUUGUUAGUUUGAUUGAUUGAUUGAUUGAUUUUAUUUUAUUUAUUUAUUUAGAGUAAUGAAAAAUAAGCUGUGCCUACAGAACUGUUAUUUGAAGAGACUGACAUUGCAAAUGAAACGCUUUGCAGGAUUGCUUGUAACGAGAAUCUGCCCCAGUGGUGGGCUGUUUCCUGUUCUUACAAGCCUUUGAAGUCAGAUCUUUGUCCUGCUGAGGACUUCUGGUGCACUUGUGUUCUGAUAGUCACACAAAAGAUUGAGACUUGCAAGAGGGAAGAGAAAAUACUGUGAAAAAAGCAGAGCUGUUCUUCAAAGAGAGA